UAGCCGGUACUCGCGAACGAUCUUUAUUAGAGUUGAUCAUGGCUCAGAGUGAAUCGCUGGCGGUAGGCCUAACACAUGCAAGUCGAACGGCAGCACAGGAGAGCUUGCUCUCUGGGUGGCGAGUGGCGGACGGGUGAGGAAUACAUCGGAAUCUACUCUGUCGUGGGGGAUAACGUAGGGAAACUUACGCUAAUACCGCAUACGACCUACGGGUGAAAGCAGGGGAUCUUCGGACCUUGCGCGAUUGAAUGAGCCGAUGUCGGAUUAGCUAGUUGGCGGGGUAAAGGCCCACCAAGGCGACGAUC
rnacentral:rRNA from 1 species